rnacentral:ncRNA from 1 species
CGCUUAUCAAGAAAGACGGAGGGUAGGGCCCGAAGAUGUCUUAGCAACCUGAGCAAAACAAGGUGCUAAUUCCCGUUCCGGAGAUGCCGGAAAGAGAUGAGCC